CAUAUACUUAUCUUUAAAAUCUGAUAAUGAGUCACUGUAAAAAAAAAGUAGUGGUUGACAGAACUCAGAUUUUCUAGGCAACGUGAUGCAUUUGGUUUUUUGAGUUGUCUUAACUUAAAUUCACCGUAGUUGAGUGUACUAAGAUUUGAGUUCUGCCAACUCAAGUUUUUGAAGUGUUGCAUACAGUUCUACUUUGAGUCCGUCUUCAUAGACGGUAAGUAUCGCAACGUGCACUCCUUCAACCACCUCUUCCUCAGGGUCUGUGUUCUGAGGGGAAAAAAACAGGUAAGUAUCGCAACUUGCACUCCUUCAACCACCUCUUCCUCAGGGUCUGUGUUCUGAGGGGAAAAAAACAGACACAGCGAAAUCUUCAGCGAUACCGACAUCCCCCCCUAAUAAUUGGCACAUUUAGGCACAAGACUACGAGCCAAUAAUUAUCCAGCUUCUGGGGAGAUAUGAAUGAGGCACUGCAAAUCUAAUAAUCACCCCAAAUUGCCUUGGAC
ensembl:lncRNA